rnacentral:rRNA from 1 species
UACAGAGGUCUCAAGCGUUGUUCGGAUUCAUUGGGCGUAAAGGGUGCGUAGGCGGCGCGGUAAGUCGGGUGUGAAAUCUCGGAGCUUAACUCCGAAACUGCAUUCGAUACUGCCGUGCUUGAGGACUGGAGAGGAGACUGGAAUUUACGGUGUAGCGGUGGAAUGCGCAGAUAUCAGGAGGAACACCGAUAGCGAAGGCAGCUCGCUGGGACGGUACUGACACUAAAGUGCGAAAGCGUGGGUAGCAAACAGG